rnacentral:rRNA from 1 species
AUUGAACGCUGGCGGCAUGCCUUACACAUGCAAGUCGAACGGUAAAGGGCUUCGGAUGCUGACGAGGGACGAACGGGUGAGUAAUACAUCGGAACGUGCCUAGUAGGUGGGGAUAACUACUCGAAAGAGUGGCUAAUACCGCAUGAGAUCUGCGGAUGCAAGCAGGGGGUCGCAAGACCUUGGCCUACCAAGGCGGCCGAUGGCAGAUUAGGUAGUUGGUGGGAUAAAAGCGUACCAAGCCGACGAUCUGUAGCUGGUCUGAGAGGACGAUCAGCCACACUGGGACUGAGACACGGCCCAGACUCCUACGGGAGGCAGCAGUGGGGAAUUUUGGACAAUGGGCGAAAGCCUGAUCCAGCAAUGCCGCGUGCAGGAUGAAGGCCUUCGGGUUGUAAACUGCUUUUGUACGGAACGAAAAGCCCCGGGUUAAUACCCUGGGGUCAUGACGGUACCGUAAGAAUAAGCACCGGCUAACUACGUGCCAGCCGCCGCAGUAA